UACGUAGGGUGCGAGCGUUGUCCGGAAUUAUUGGGCGUAAAGGGCUCGUAGGCGGUUUGUUACGUCGGGAGUGAAAACCCAGGGCUCAACCCUGGGCCUGCUUCCGAUACGGGCAGACUAGAGGUAUGCAGGGGUGAAUGGAAUUCCUGGUGUAGCGGUGAAAUGCGCAGAUAUCAGGAGGAACACCGGUGGCGAAGGCGGGUCUCUGGGCCGUUACUGACGCUGAGGAGCGAAAGCGUGGGGAGCGAACAGG
rnacentral:rRNA from 1 species